AUGAACGCUGGCGGCGUGCCUAAUCCAUGCAAGUCGAGCGAACAGACGAGGAGCUUGCUCCUCUGACGUUAGCGGCGGACGGGUGAGUAACACGUGGAUAACCUACCUAUAAGACUGGGAUAACUUCGGGAAACCGGAGCUAAUACCGGAUAACAUGUUGAACCGCAUGGUUCAACAGUGAAAGACGGUCUUGCUGUCACUUAUAGAUGGAUCCGCGCCGCAUUAGCUAGUUGGUAAGGUAACGGCUUACCAAGGCAACGAUGCGUAGCCGACCUGAGAGGGUGAUCGGCCACACUGGAACUGAGACACGGUCCAGACUCCUACGGGAGGCAGCAGUAGGGAAUCUUCCGCAAUGGGCGAAAGCCUGACGGAGCAACGCCGCGUGAGUGAAGAAGGUCUUCGGAUCGUAAAACUCUGUUAUUAGGGAAGAACAAAUGUGUAAGUAACUAUGCACGUCUUGACGGUACCUAAUCAGAAAGCCACGGCUAACUACGUG
rnacentral:rRNA from 1 species